rnacentral:lncRNA from 1 species
UGACAUAUUUCAUACACAUACCAUUCUCAGUAAAUUUCACUUCUAUAUGAGUGAAUUUGAGAGAGAAAAUGACUAUUACAAAGGAGUGACAUAUGAAUUUUCAAUUUAAAAGAGUGAAAUAUUCACAUCACGUAUAUAAGUUUCACAAAUCUGCAUUUCACAUCACAUAUAGCAGUUCCACAUAUCUACAUAUCUAUUUCAAUUUCGGAACAACAAUUUAACAUAUAUCACACAAUCUGCUUCAAAUCUUCACUUCAAUUCAAUUUGAGACCUUCACUUCCAUUUGCUGAAUAUUUUGGUAGAUUCCACAACUGAAACAUUUAUAUUUCAAUUUCACAAGCAUGGGGACUUUCCAUCUGGUGGAAAUGCAACGGGGGCAGCUCAAAUCAUAUAGCAUGAAACAAAAAUCAGGAAGUUCAGAGAGAGAGAGAGAGAGAGAGA